UAUUUUUUAUUGUAAUUUUAUUAUUGUUCCUUUGAUAGUAUCUGUAGUGUGUUUAAUAACUUGUAUUUUUGGUUGUUGGCGGAAAUGUUAAUGCUUGAGUUUAUGCAUUUGUAGAAUUAAUAAUUUAGUAAAUUAUUUUUAAUUGAGUUUUAUGUUUAUAAUUUUUUUAAAUAACUAAAAUUAGGUUCUUUUGUUUUUUAAAGACUUAGGCUUUUGUUUGAAGUUGUCUUCUGCUCUAUGAGUUUUUAAAUGGCAGCCUUAGCGUGAGGGUAUUAAGGUAGCAUAAUAAUUUGUGUCUUUAAUGGGCUCUAGUAUGAAUGGAGGAAAUGGAUCUUAAUUUUCUUUUAUUUGUUUUGAAUUAUGGGUUUAACUAAAAAUUGUUGCCUUUAAUUAUACUAAAAUAAGUCAACGGAAAUUUUUUAGCGAUGAAGUGUGCAGAGAUAACUCGAAUGAAUGUGAACAGCUUGAUUGAAACAUCACAAAGGAUCGCCCAGCAGCCGCGGUAAUUCCAGCUCUCAAAGUGUAUAUCGUCAUUGCUGCGGUUAAAAAGCUCGUAGUUG
rnacentral:rRNA from 1 species